AAAUGAUGUUGGUUGACAAGUGUCCUCAAAAUGGUGUUGCACACUUGUCAUUUAAUGACGGUGGUUUUAUUGUUUAAAUACUAGGUAUUUUAGGUAAUUAUGCUUAUCGUGUCCCCCAUAUAAAAGACAAAAAUACCCCACAACAGUUUUACAGUUUAUUUGUUCUACAGACCUAAUUUGAUUAAAAGAAUGUAACACCCAAAAUCAAGAAUAUGGGCCCAUUACCACAUAAUACAAUCCUCUUUAUCUCAAUUACCAAAGUUGGUGUUGAUUGAUUGAUUAAAUCAGGAAAUAAAUAAAAAAAGGAAAAGAAAAUAUUACAAUUAUCACAGUUGCCAAAUGAAACGAAAAUUAUUACUAAUCAAUAAAUGAACAAUACAGCUAAACGAAUAAAAUUUUUCUAAUUAACUGCAGAAACAAAAUACAUUCAAAAAAUCUCCAUUGUAAAUCAGAAGAGGAAGAAAAUUUCCAGAAAUUAGAAAACAAAAAACCUCUCCUUUGAUGCACAUCUACUGCCGCGCUGAUUCUCAGUAGAAAACCAGAAGAAAUCCGUUCUCAAAAGAACCACAUUAUCGUUCUUUCUUCUUGAAGUCGCUCCCACACGUAAGUACACUUUUCGUAUGAAUCCUUGCAAAAAAAUACAAACAGAAAAUAAACAAAUUUUUUAUAAUAAUAAUUCAUAAAUUUUAAUACAUAACCAUAAAGAAACAGACAUUAAACAAUUACUUUUUUAACAAAUUCGUGAAUUUCUAAUUUAAUUGUAUGAUCAUAUUCAAUUUUGUGUAUGCAUAAAAAUACAAGGAAUAUUGUACGCAUAACAAUACUCCCUCUGUAUUUAUUUAAGAGAUACACUUACCUUUUUCGGCCGUAUUUAAUUAAGAGAUAUAUACUUGUCAUUUUUAGUAACUUAUCAACCCACCAUUUAAUUAAAUAAUCUAUCUACAACCUACCCCCACCCCCAUCCCCUAAAAUGACAUGGUCCCCACUUAUUUUACUUAUUAAAAUAUCUACCCAACCCCACUUGUUUUAUUACUUUAUUUAAUUCAAUUUUUUUUCUUAAUACCCGUGCCGGUCAAGUGUAUCUCUUAAAUAAAUACGGAGGGAGUAUAAUUUUUAUGUAUACAGACUAUAUAAAAAAUAAAAACAAAAUUAAAUUUGUGAAUUUAUGCAUAAAACAAAUAUUUUUUUCUAAUAUUGUUGCGUUUAUUUAUUAGCAGAUUUCAAAAUAUAAGGUAGGUAAUAUUCUUGCUUCUAUAGAUUUUAAUUAAUUAUUUUAUAUUUCCAUUUAUGUAUUUGGUUAAAUAAUCUCAUAAUUUUUUUAAUUUUUAAUUGCAGAUUUCAACAACGAAGGUUAUAAUCUCGGUUUUAAGUUGGGUGUUAAGUUCAUCAAGGCAUACUAUAAACAACGGCAAAAGUUCUUAGAACUUGUGGAAUUAGAGGUCAUGACUGCAGUCAAACCAUUAGAGUUCUUCAGAUCAGCUUUUGAUGCUUUGUAUCCUUUUGCAACAUUAUCAUACAAAAUAACUUGUGUUGGAUAUGUUUGAUUAUUUGUGUAGAGUUAGAUACACUCCUGCAGCCUGCAAUAUUAUCAACUAGUCAAUAAAAACAUCACACUUUUCCUAGUAGAUACUGGAGCGCAGUAAUAAUUCUUGGAGUUUCA